CCAAGUCUCACGUUACGAGCAUCACUGGCGAAAGAUGGAUGUUUACAGUUGAAGUGCUUCCAUGCUUCACCGUCAGAAGGAUGACGCAACACUCCUUCACUUUUGUUACCAUCAUGUCAUGUCAUGUGUUUUGCUGUUUGAAUUGAAGCAAACAUCCUUUGUAAUCUUGAAAUGAUCGGCAAAUAGAACAUGGACUUGAAUGGAAUUGGUUUUUUUUGCCUCCGUCCUGGAUGCAAUGUUUGAAAUCGAGGAUUGCCACAAAACUUGCAUUGCACCAACGAUGCAUCAUUUUUGCCAGUGUCGUUGUCAUAGAAAAGCAUACAUCCAUUCACACAACAAUCAAUCUUCUUCGCUUCCAAUCCCAACUUCGAAACACAUCUUUUGGCUUCGUAAUAAUUCUUCGGCAAAGAAUUGUUUGGUGGUGUUAGAUCUAACACCAAUUUUGUAAAGUGGUCCACC
rnacentral:lncRNA from 1 species